UGUAGCUAUAAAUCACUCUCUCUACCACAACCAUUUUCAGUAACGCUUAAGCACAGUUUAACUUUUCUCGGCGGUUUCAUGGCGGCGACUAGUGCAGAUUAUAAUCAGUUCGUCAAUGAGACCUCUUUUUACAACCGUAUGGUUCUGAGUCACCUUUUGCCGGCGAGUCUAUGGGAACCUUUACCACAUUUCCUUCAGACAUGGCUCAGGAACUACCUCGCCGUAAACAUACUCUAAUUCACCUCCGGCUUCCUCUGGUGCUUCUACAUCUAUUACCUUAAACCCAACGUUUACGUCCCCAAAGGUGCUUUUCUUGUUUUUCUUUCAAUUUACGAUAUUCUGUUUUUUAAAAGCACGUAAAUUUAGUUAUUUCUCAACUUUGAAUCUAUUCUAACGAUUUGGCUAAUUUACAUUUUUAAGUUGAAUUUUUGAUCUCUGGAUGAGGUUUGAACUCAAAAUGUACGUUGAAAUUGAAAAAUUGUGCUUUCAAGUUCUGUUUCUUGUGGGGUUUCUUCUAUUUUGUGUUCAGAUUCUAUCCCUACAAGAAAGGCAAUGAUUCUGCAAAUAUCUGUGGCAAUGAAGGCUAUGCCUUAGCACAGUCUUCUUCCAGCUGUAUCUGAGUAUAUGAUCGAGCAUGGUUGGACCCAAUGUUACUCUACAAUUGACCAUUUCAACUGGUUCCACUGUAUCCUCUACAUAACUCUCUAUCUUGCUUUAGUUGAGUUUGGGGUUUAUUGGAUUCACAAAGAGCUUCAUGACAAUAAAUUUCUCUAUAAGCAUCUCCAUGCGACCCGUCACAUCUACAACAAGCAAAACACAAUCUCUCCAUUUGCUGGUAUGUCAAGUUAUGUUCUCAAUCUAUAUUUAAGAUUAUGCUGAGUAUCAAUAGUGACUUGUUUACUUAAAACGUUUUUUCGGUUUUCCAGGGUUCGCAUUCCAUCCGUUGGACGGGAUAAUUCAGUCUUUACCGCAUGUGAUAGCGCUGUUUAUAGUGCCGAUUCAUCUCAUAACACAUCUGUGCCUUUUGUCUUCGGAAGGGAUAUGGACAGCAAACAUCCAUGACUGCAUCCACGGCAACAUCUGGCCAGUAAUGGGUGCAGGAUACCAUACGAUACACCACACCACAUACAAGCAUAACUAUGGCCACAAAACCAUAUUGAUGGAUUGGAUGUUUGGCUCUCUUAAGGCUUCUUUAGCAGAAGAAGACAGUUUCAAGGAGAAAGCAAAGUGAGAAUGUUCAAUGCUCAGUUGCUCACAUCACAUGUCUCUUCUUCAUAUGUUGUUCUUCUCGUGACUCAUCUUAAACCUUUGUAAUCACCUUGUUGGAAAUAAAUAAAUAUAUGUUGGAAUCACUCUUAAACCUCUUUCUUGUUCAACAAGUCACCUGGGUGUGAUCAUAUCGCAUACUUGAGAGUUGAGGCUAAUGAUAGUAAAACGCAAUUUAACCCGCUUAAAGUUUAAUCGUAUUCAAAGGAUUGGCCACAUAGACUUGAAAUAAUCCAUCACAAACCCUCCAUACCAAAAAUUCCUUAAAAAAUAGCAAAUCAUUUAAAUAUUGUAAGUUUGCUUCAUUUAAAUAUUGUAAGUUUGCUUCAUUCGAAAUUUUAGCUACAGAUCUCAAAGCUCCUCCUGUUGGCUAUCUCUCUCUCUCUCUCUCUCUCUAUAAGCACAGUUUGACUUUUCUCGGCGGUUUCAUGCAUGGCGGCGACUAGUGCAGAUUAUAAUCAGUUCGUCAGUGAGACCUCUUUUUACAACCGAAUGGUUCUGAGUCACCUUUUGCCGGCGAAUCUAUGGGAACCUUUACCACAUUUCCUUCAGACAUGGCUCCGGAACUACCUCGCCGGAAACAUACUCUACUUCAUCUCCGGCUUUCUUUGGUGCUUCUACAUCUAUUACCUUAAACUCAACGUUUACGUCCCAAAAGGUUACUUUUUUCAAUUUCGAUGUUCUGUUUUUAAGCCUUCUUUUGUUUAUUCCUUCGAUUGUAUCGCCUGGUGGUUUCUGUUAUACGUUUCAAUUUGACGAACGUUACCCUCUCUUAUUUUUUUCCCUUACAGUUACUUUCAGUUCUUGUCUUCUACUUCUCAUUUAAUUAGUCUUGAAGUUUAAUAAUCCAAGCAAGUAAAUUUAGUUAUUUCUUAACUUUGAAUCUAACUUACAUUUUUUUAAGUUGAAUUUUCGAUAUCUCGAUAAAAGUUGAGCUCAAAUCUGAUUAUGUUAGAUACUUCAUGAAUCAUGAGGUACUGAACAUUUUAAUGAAAGAUUGUUGUGCUCAAUUGUGGUUAGUAGAAGUUUUAACCCAUAGGAACAUAAGUGUUUUAUUCAUGUUAAGCUAAUAUUCAGUACCUUGAAAUUGA
rnacentral:lncRNA from 1 species